rnacentral:rRNA from 1 species
AUGGGAUUCUUGUUGGCCGCCAGGAGCUACGUCGCUGCUGCUGCCCUCCUCUGUGUGGUUCUUCCAUGCCACGCGAAGCUCUCGCCCAGGUUCUACGCCAGGACGUGCCCCAACGUGGAGGCCAUCGUGCGGUCGGUGAUGGCGCCGGCCGUCGCCGCGGAGCCGCGGAUGGGCGCGUCCAUCAUUCGGCUCUUCUUCCACGACUGCUUCGUCAACGGAUGUGACGCGUCGAUCCUCCUGGACGACACGCCGGCCUUCACCGGCGAGAAGAACGCCGGCGCGAACGCCAACUCCGUCCGCGGGUACGAGGUGAUCGACGCCAUCAAGGCGCGCGUCGAGGCGGCCUGCAAGGCCACCGUCUCCUGCGCCGACAUCGUCGCGCUGGCAGCUCGCGACGCCGUCAACCUGCUCAGGGGCCCGACGUGGAACGUGCCGCUGGGCCGGAAGGACUCGCGCACGGCGACGCAGAGCGCCGCCAACGCGAACCUCCCGGGGCCCGGCGCCAGCGCCGCGUCGCUCGUGUUGGCGUUCGCGGCCAAGGGGCUCUCGGCGCGCGAGAUGACGGCGCUCUCCGGCGCGCACACCGUGGGGCGGGCGCGCUGCGCCCUCUUCCGCGGCCGCAUCUACGGGGAGCCCAACAUCAACGCCACCUUCGCGGCGGCGCGGCGGCAGACGUGCCCGCAGGCCGGCGGGGACGGCAACCUCGCGCCGUUCGACGACCGGACGCCCGACGCGUUCGACAACGCCUACUACGCGAACCUGGUGGCGCGGCGCGGGCUGCUGCACUCGGACCAGGAGCUGUUCAACGGCGGGUCGCAGGACGCGCUGGUGAGGAAGUACAGCGGCAACGGCAAGAUAUUCGCCGGCGACUUCGCCAAGGCCAUGGUCAAGAUGGGGGGGCUCCUGCCGGCCGCCGGGACGCCCACGGAGGUCAGGUUGAACUGCAGGAGGGUUAACUAG